UACGGGAGGGGCAAGCGUUAUUCGGAAUGACUGGGCGUAAAGGGCAUGUAGGCGGUUUAGUGAAUGUUAGUUAAUAAAUUCUGGGGCAUAACUCUUAACAGUUUUUCUAAAACAGCUAAACUUAUGAGUAUAUCAGAAGAUACUAAAAAUGUUUAAUGUAGCAGCAAUAUGCGCUUAUAUUAAAUGGAAUGCCAAAGCGAAAGCAGGUAUCUAUGUUAUUACUGACGCUGAGAUGCGAAAGUGUGGGGAUCAAAUCGG
rnacentral:rRNA from 1 species